AAAGCUCAAAUUUGAAAUCUGGCGCCUUCGGUGUCCCAUUUGUAAUUUGAAGAUUGUAACCUUGGGGUUGGCUCUUGUCUAUGUUUCUUGGAACAGGACGUCACAGAGGGUGAGAAUCCCGUGCGAUGAGAUGCCCAAUUCUAUGUAAGGUGCUUUCGAAGAGUCGAGUUGUUUGGGAAUGCAGCUCUAAGUGGGUGGUAAAUUCCAUCUAAAGCUAAAUAUUGGCGAGAGACCGAUAGCGAACAAGUACAGUGAUGGAAAGAUGAAAAGAACUUUGAAAAGAGAGUGAAAAAGUACGUGAAAUUGUUGAAAGGGAAGGGUUUGAGAUCAGACUCGAUAUUUUGUGAGCCUUGCCUUCGUGGCGGGGUGACCCGCAGCUUAUCGGGCCAGCAUCGGUUUGGGCGGUAGGAUAAUGGCGUAGGAAUGUGACUUUACUUCGGUGAAGUGUUAUAGCCUGCGUUGAUGCUGCCUGCCUAGACCGAGGACUGCGAUUUUAUCAAGGAUGCUGGCAUAAUGAUCCCAAACCGCCCGUCUUG
rnacentral:rRNA from 1 species